rnacentral:lncRNA from 1 species
GUGACGUUAUCCAGGGUGCCGACUAUUUCGGCCCAAUACCCUUCGAAAUAGUAAUCGCUCUCUAAGUAAAUCCUGUCCGCCCAUUUCUCGUUCUCUUUGUAAAUCAGGUACGCCAGGCCCGUCUGAUCGUCCGACUCCGGGAACGCCUUGUCCUUGAACGUCGCCCGGAGCGUCUCCCCCCACUUCUCGUAGUCCGGCGUCUGCGGGCCCAUUCCGGCCCAGGCCUCGAGGAAGUCCAUGGACCACUGGCAGUUCCUGAUCAGAAACACGCCGGCGUUUAACCCCGUCCAGCUGUGGGUGUCCAGAAUCAAGUGGGCCCAGCCGUGAACGAUGAGGUUGUGGCUCCUGUACUUCUCUAACGGUAAUUUGAACUCCAUGUCGGUGAACAACGCGUCCGAGUCGACCCACCAGAUCCACUCGACUUCCGGGUGGGCCACCAUGGCGGCCCGGAUGACCGGAAUCUUGGCCCAGUAGCUCUUCAUUUCCGGGUGAAGGAACGCGUUGUUGUAGAACAAAUCGUGGCCGUGUAUUCUGCAGUAGUCCACUUUGUUCUUGAAGAAUCUCAGCAGCAAAUGAUCGCCGAUAGGAUUCUUACACGCGGACGGCUGCGAUCCCGUCACCAUGAGAAUCCGUUCAGCUGCUCCGGCGCCGAAUGAAGGAUGAUGCAGUAGCCACUGGCUCCGCUUCUCGUCCCAGUUUUUAACGGGGUUGCCAAUAGAGUAGGUCAGCUCCGGGUCGUCGUAGAAGGUCCGGUCGGGCGGGUCGGACUGUAAACUCGGACCCGGGUCGGAAUGACGAACCGAAUUGGACCGGGGCGGAGUGACGGUACGCCCGAAAUUGGGGGCGGAAGUGGAGUUGGGGUGUAUGAAGGACCAUAUAGUGAUGAGGAGUAAAAGAGCGAGAAAUGCGCCGCCGAGGAAGAGAAGGCCGUCG